rnacentral:misc_RNA from 1 species
AAGUCGUAACAAGGUUUCCGUAGGUGAACCUGCGGAAGGAUCAUUAUCGAGUUUUGACUGGGUUGUAGCUGGCCUCCCGAGGCAUGUGCACGCCCUGCUCAUCCACUCUACACCUGUGCACUUACUGUGGGCUUCAGACGUCGUGAAGCGGGCUCUUUACGGAGCUUGUAGAGCGUGUCUGUGCCUGCGUUUACCACAAACUCUAUAAAGUAUUAGAAUGUGUACUGCGAUGUAACGCAUCUAUGUACAACUUUCAGCAACGGAUCUCUUGGCUCUC